rnacentral:rRNA from 1 species
UACGUAGGGUGCGAGCGUUAAUCGGAAUUACUGGGCGUAAAGCGUGCGCAGGCGGCUUCGCAAGUCAGACGUGAAAUCCCCGGGCUCAACUUGGGAAUGGCGUUUGAAACUACGAGGCUGGAGUGUGGCAGAGGGAGGUGGAAUUCCACGUGUAGCGGUGAAAUGCGUAGAGAUGUGGAGGAACACCGAUGGCGAAGGCAGCCUCCUGGGCCAACACUGACGCUCAUGCACGAAAGCGUGGGGAGCAAACAGG